UCCAGACUCCUACGGGAGGCAGCAGUGGGGAAUAUUGCACAAUGGGGGAAACCCUGAUGCAGCGACGCCGCGUGAAGGAAGAAGUAUUUCGGUAUGUAAACUUCUCUCAGCAGGGAAGAAAAUGACGGUACCUGACUAAGAAGCCCCGGCUAACUACGUGCCAGCAGCCGCGGUAAUACGUAGGGGGCAAGCGUUAUCCGGAUUCACUGGGUGUAAAGGAGGCGCAGACGGCGAUGCAAGCCAGGAGUGAAAGCCCGGGGCCCAACCCCGGGACUGCCCUUGGAACUGCGUGGCUGGAGUGCAGGAGGGGCAGGCGGAAUUCCUGGUGUAGCGGUGAAAUGCGUAGAUAUCAGGAGGAGCACCGGUGGCGAAGGCGGCCUGCUGGACUGCAACUGACGUUGAGGCCCGAAAGCGUGGGGAGCAAACAGGAUUAGAUACCCGGGUAUAC
rnacentral:rRNA from 1 species